GGUUAAGCGAACAAGCGUACACGGUGGAUGCCCUGGCAGUCAGAGGCGAUGAAGGACGUGCUAAUCUGCGAAAAGCGCCGGUAAGGUGAUAUGAACCGUUAUAACCGGCGAUGUCCGAAUGGGGAAACCCGGUGCACUUCGGUGCAUCAUCGUUAGCUGAAUACAUAGGCUAACGAGGCGAACCGGGGGAACUGAAACAUCUAAGUACCCCGAGGAAAAGAAAUCAACCGAGAUUCCCCCAGUAGCGGCGAGCGAACGGGGAACAGCCCAGAGCCUGAAUCAGCUUGUGUGUCAGUGGAACGGUCUGGAAAGGCCGGCGAUACAGGGUGACAGCCCCGUACACGAAGGCACACAGGCUGUGAGCUCGAUGAGUAGGGCGGGACACGUGAUAUCCUGUCUGAAGAUGGGGGGACCAUCCUCCAAGGCUAAAUACUCCUGACUGACCGAUAGUGAACCAGUACCGUGAGGGAAAGGCGAAAAGAACCCCGGCGAGGGGAGUGAAACAGAACCUGAAACCGUGUACGUACAAGCAGUGGGAGCCUUCGUAAGAGGGUGACUGCGUACCUUUUGUAUAAUGGGUCAGCGACUUAUAUUCUGUAGCAAGGUUAACCGUAUAGGGGAGCCGAAGGGAAACCGAGUCUUAAUUGGGCGUUAAGUUGCAGGGUAUAGACCCGAAACCCGGUGAUCUAGCCAUGGGCAGGUUGAAGGUUGGGUAACACUAACUGGAGGACCGAACCGACUAAUGUUGAAAAAUUAGCGGAUGACCUGUGGCUGGGGGUGAAAGGCCAAUCAAACCGGGAGAUAGCUGGUUCUCCCCGAAAGCUAUUUAGGUAGCGCCUCGUGAACUCAUCUCCGGGGGUAGAGCACUGUUUCGGCUAGGGGGCCAUCCCGGCUUACCAACCCGAUGCAAACUGCGAAUACCGGAGAAUGUUAUCACGGGAGACACACGGCGGGUGCUAACGUCCGUCGUGAAGAGGGAAACAACCCAGACCGCCAGCUAAGGUCCCAAAGUCAUGGUUAAGUGGGAAACGAUGUGGGAAGGCCCAGACAGCCAGGAUGUUGGCUUAGAAGCAGCCAUCAUUUAAAGAAAGCGUAAUAGCUCACUGGUCGAGUCGGCCUGCGCGGAAGAUGUAACGGGGCUAAACCAUGCACCGAAGCUGCGGCAGCGACACUAUGUGUUGUUGGGUAGGGGAGCGUUCUGUAAGCCUGUGAAGGUGUGCUGUGAGGCAUGCUGGAGGUAUCAGAAGUGCGAAUGCUGACAUAAGUAACGAUAAAGCGGGUGAAAAGCCCGCUCGCCGGAAGACCAAGGGUUCCUGUCCAACGUUAAUCGGGGCAGGGUGAGUCGACCCCUAAGGCGAGGCCGAAAGGCGUAGUCGAUGGGAAACAGGUUAAUAUUCCUGUACUUGGUGUUACUGCGAAGGGGGGACGGAGAAGGCUAUGUCGGCCGGGCGACGGUUGUCCCGGUUUAAGCGUGUAGGCUGACUUUCCAGGCAAAUCCGGAAGGUUAAGGCUGAGGCGUGAUGACGAGGCACCACGGUGCUGAAGUGACAAAUGCCCUGCUUCCAGGAAAAGCCUCUAAGCAUCAGGUAACAUCAAAUCGUACCCCAAACCGACACAGGUGGUCAGGUAGAGAAUACCAAGGCGCUUGAGAGAACUCGGGUGAAGGAACUAGGCAAAAUGGUGCCGUAACUUCGGGAGAAGGCACGCUGACAUGUAGGUGAAGCCCCUGCGGGUGGAGCUGAAGUCAGUCGAAGAUACCAGCUGGCUGCAACUGUUUAUUAAAAACACAGCACUGUGCAAACACGAAAGUGGACGUAUACGGUGUGACGCCUGCCCGGUGCCGGAAGGUUAAUUGAUGGGGUUAUCGCAAGAGAAGCUCCUGAUCGAAGCCCCGGUAAACGGCGGCCGUAACUAUAACGGUCCUAAGGUAGCGAAAUUCCUUGUCGGGUAAGUUCCGACCUGCACGAAUGGCGUAAUGAUGGCCAGGCUGUCUCCACCCGAGACUCAGUGAAAUUGAACUCGCUGUGAAGAUGCAGUGUACCCGCGGCAAGACGGAAAGACCCCGUGAACCUUUACUACAGCUUGACACUGAACAUUGAGCCUUGAUGUGUAGGAUAGGUGGGAGGCUUUGAAGCGUGGACGCCAGUCUGCGUGGAGCCGACCUUGAAAUACCACCCUUUAAUGUUUGAUGUUCUAACCUGGCGCCGUGAUCCGGCGUGGGGACAGUGUCUGGUGGGUAGUUUGACUGGGGCGGUCUCCUCCCAAAGUGUAACGGAGGAGCACGAAGGUCAGCUAAUCCUGGUCGGACAUCAGGAGGUUAGUGCAAUGGCAUAAGCUGGCUUGACUGCGAGAGUGACGGCUCGAGCAGGUGCGAAAGCAGGUCAUAGUGAUCCGGUGGUUCUGUAUGGAAGGGCCAUCGCUCAACGGAUAAAAGGUACUCCGGGGAUAACAGGCUGAUACCGCCCAAGAGUUCAUAUCGACGGCGGUGUUUGGCACCUCGAUGUCGGCUCAUCACAUCCUGGGGCUGAAGUAGGUCCCAAGGGUAUGGCUGUUCGCCAUUUAAAGUGGUACGCGAGCUGGGUUUAGAACGUCGUGAGACAGUUCGGUCCCUAUCUGCCGUGGGCGCUGGAGAAUUGAGGGGGGCUGCUCCCAGUACGAGAGGACCGGAGUGGACGCAUCACUGGUGUUCGGGUUGUCAUGCCAAUGGCACUGCCCGGUAGCUAAAUGCGGAAGAGAUAAGUGCUGAAAGCAUCUAAGCACGAAACUUGCCCCGAGAUGAGUUCUCCCUGAGACUGUAAGUCUCCUGAAGGAACGUUGAAGACGACGACGUUGAUAGGCCGGGUGUGUAAGCGCAGCGAUGCGUUGAGCUAACCGGUACUAAUGAACCGUGAGGCUUAACCUU
rnacentral:rRNA from 1 species